ACCCACCGGCGUGCCGCCGCCGUGCUUCCCUGCUCCCACCCCUCGCGACACAUAGCACCGUCCUUGCAGCUCCUCAUCCACGCGAGACCACCGAGGAAGUUCCCGCGCCCCAUCUUCUCCUCAACUGGCCCGUCUCGACGGCCUCCCUGGCUUCCUCCAGGCAGGCCGCGUGCUCCGGCGACGCCGCUCGCUACUUCUUCCACGAGUGUGCUCCUGCGUCGGCGCCGCCCCAGAUCCGCCCGCUGUCGGCCGCGCGUCGUGUUGGACUCCGAAGCAGGCCGUCCCGUUUCCUGAACUUCCAUUGAACGUGGAUGCCGGCAGGACCUCAACGAGAACAUUUAUUUUCUUCUCUAAACGUCGCCGGUGCUGAUGCGAGAGGCUCAGGAGAAGCGACGGAAGGAAGUAAGGAACGGACGUCCAAGUGCUUUGAUACCCUGGGCAUCGCGGAUGACAUUGACGAAGCGGUCAUAGUCGUAGGCGAGGAGGAUGACCUGAGGAGUCGUUUCUUCUGGUUGCGGCCAGGGAAGCGCAGAGCGACGGAGGCGCUCCAGAAGUGGACUGGCGAGGACUGCCCUCACGGUGCUGUAUCGUCCGAGAUCUGAGCCUUGACAGUUGAUUCAAGCACUCCCUUAGGAAUCUGUGCGGUCUUCAGGAAGAUGUCGCCAGGAGACUCGUGGAGGAUGUUUCAACUUGCAAAGAGAAAAUGGCUGAACGUUUCUAGUAAAUAUUAGCUCAAAAGUUCCAAAGUGGGAGCUGGUAAUGAGAUUUAGAGGGAUGCAGACUCAAGAACAGAUGUGGGAUUCAUGGGCGCUUGGAGGACUACAGGCAGGCCUUACCUGACCACCUCCUCCAGCUGGUUGUAUAGCUAUUUCAGUUGCAUGUCUAAACUCCGAAUUUACUCAACUGUGAAUAACAUAUCAGUUCAACAUUUAUUUUUAGGCUAAUCAAGCUAAUAAUUGUGUGCACAUCGAUGGCAGUCUGAAGCAGAUCAGAUUGCAGCCAUUGUCUGUUAAGCUCCUGAGUGGACGCAUUGAAGGGGUGCUGCGAAGCCUGCCAUUGAAGGAUCAAGAGUCAAGAAUCAAGAUGCAAUUACCAUCUAUAUUUUGCGUUGUGCACCAAAGCCGCGUCAGUUAUUGCACGGUGUGACAAGCCACAGUACAGAGGUAGAGAGAGCUUGGUAGAGAGAGAAAGAUUGAGUGAAUUGUUCAUGAUCUUUUUUUGGCCUUCUUCUUGCAGCGCUCAGGCUACUUCGUCGUGCCACAUGAACAUCUGACGGACUGAAGUUUUAGGCAUACCAGAUAGAAGAGGAGCAGUAUGCAAGGUCAAGAUGAGGCUAAUUCUAGGGCGCAGCUGAUGAAGUAGUGAGCAAGGAUUUGUUUUCUGUCAGCUCAUAAUAGGCGAGUUCCUCUUGCUCUUUGGAUUCAUUUGCUUAUGGUGUGCACACCUAGGUUAAGAUAUGUUGUGUAUAUCACCUUUUGAUGCAAUGUUAUUUAUUAGGCUCACCUACAAAUCUGAAUCUAUUAACUUUUAUCAACUUAAUAACUUGGAUAAGAAGGUUUAGCUACUAUAGUAUUCUGUAGACCAAACAUUAUUUCUGUUAUUGUACAAGCUCAAAUUACUUCCUGUGGUACCUGUAUUAGUUUAUCAGACCUGGUGCUGCUGAAAGUAUAUUUCAGAUCAACAACCUAAUCUAAAAUUACAGAAAUAGACUACUUUGUGUUAGCAAUAGGGAGAUUAUUUAUUGUUUUCAAUGAAGGGGGACCUUUCUUCUUAUGUAUGAUCAUUGAUGUUUUGAAUUUUUGGCAUCUGGGGUGUUUUGAUUUGCACAUGCUAAAAGACGAGAAAUUUGGCCUUCGUGUUUGCAGUUCACCAGCUCAAUUAUUUUCUGUUUAUUUGGAGUAACGAAUACAUCAUCACUUUGUAGCUGUUGACAAGCUAUGCCACAUCACAUAUUUGCCACAUCAGCAAGUUUCCUUCUGUCCAUGUUCCACUCAUUCGUUCAGUUUGUUCAUGGCAAAAUCAUACGAACGGUCCACAUGCAGAGAUCAUUACUGUUUUUCUUCCCCAUCGAUCUUUCUGUCUCUUUGCAUUCCCGUUGGUCUUCUUCUCCUAUUUAUGCUGCGCAUGCCCUGUUCUCACGUCUACAAUCCCAACCAUCGAACGCAUCCCCAUCUCCUCUACUACGGCGGUGCCUUGCCUCUCCUCGAUCUACUACGUCCAACCGAAGCAGCAACCAAUGGAAGCAUCGAUUUGGCCAUGACGAGUAGCGCUGUUGUGUCGAGGGUUCCCCGACAACGAUUCCAACGACUAGAAGAGACAUCCCAUGUCAAUACUAUCUAGGUACACACGAGAUCUAAAUAUCCAUCUAGGGUGCAUAAUUUCUGUCGAUUAUUCCGAUUUGCUCUAGCUGUCUCCGUUUGCAAAACCAUAGAUUUAUAAAUCAGCUUGCUGAAGCCCUUGAGGAAAGCGAUGUUGUCAUCCAUGGACCAUGGGGGUAUCAGGUAUAUAUUGUUCAUCCAAAUUUACUGUGAGUGAAUAAAUUACCUUGCAGAACUACACAGGGUCCUCUCAUAGUCUCAUCUAUGCUUCCAUAAUCUUCUUUUCGUCCAACACGUGUUUUUUAUAUUUGUUAACACUGAAGUGCUCUUUUAAUAAUUAACUAUAUAUAUUGAUUGGAUCUGCAGUUCUCUAGGGCGUGGACCUGUAUAGACGUAUGUAAAUUUGAAGGUGCUAACCUCUGUCUUCUGUCUUCAGGCCAAGUGCAGUUCCAUGUGAUUUAUUAUUUAUUAGCAGGGAUGAAAACUUCCGUGACAGUGCUCUCAAAAUCCAAAUUCCGAUCUAUAGAUGUAAGUUCUAUUUUAAUCAUUAUACAAUAUACAUACCGUCAUCCUUUGACUGUUGUAGCAUUGCUUGAGUUCUACACCUGAAGCUAAUCGUGUUUGUCUUUGCGGAAUUUCUAAGAUUCUUUUUAUUUGCCUUUAUUGUCAUAUAGUUGUACUACACAGCUCACGAGCCAUUGUCUUUGCAACUGGCUUACCAUAUUGGAAAAGAAAGUUCAUCGUUGUGCUAAUUAAUAAUUAUAUUAUAAUGUUUUAAGCAUGCUCUUGAGGAUUCCUCAGGUUUCACGGUAAAAAAAUCAACAUGUUGGAGUCGACGAACUGAAACCCCUCCCGUCGGUCCCAUGGUUUCAGAAGGAGGCAUUGACCUGAACGUCCCGAGCAGUAUACUGUGGUGCCUUCAGGCUUCAGGUUGUGGAGGAUGCCUUCCAAUGUCGAUGUUGUGGCUUCGUCUUUGGUAUCUCUGCCCAUGAUCAUGUAAAUAACCCUUUUGUUUUAGUCCCUAAUUAAAUAUUCCUGAUUAGCCACGCAAUGCAGUUAUUAUUGUUUCCUGCGUGAUCUGUUUUCUCCCAUACAUGAAUUUUAGGCCCGCCAUUUCAGAUUUAAGCCCGUGGCAUGUUUUAGUCCCUUGACUAUAGCAGGUUUUUCUCCUAAUCCUCCUGUACUAUUUUCUUAAAUUACAAUGAGAUUAUCUUCCAUGAUUGUUAAUUAUGUUUCUUCCUAGCCUUCUGUAGAAGUGUUCAUACAUGAGUGAAUAUCUGUGUUACUCUGUAUUUGCCAUCUGUUCAUACAUGAGUGAAUAUUCAGAGUAAAUUUUUUUUACGUAAACUUGGAAUAAACAUGAAGAGUCGUUUUCCUACUCUUCAGUCAUGUCCCCCAAUAUUUUUUCUUAUUUCAGUUUCGGUAAGACUCCCAAGCACAAUCCAGGUAAUUCACAAAUAUUUGUGUUUCAGUUUAGGUAAGCCUUUAUUGGAAUGGAACAUUUGUUUUCUUUCUUUCAAUUAUCUGAUUCAUUAACUCAGAAAUAUGUUGGUACUGGUGCUACAUCUACUGUGCAGGUAUUUGAAACGAUGCCCCAUGGUAAAUCUACCUCAAGCUGAUUUGUCGAUCAAGCAAUCUUAUCAGUUGUAUGCCAUUUUCCCCUUAAUUGAAGGUUUAUCACAAUUUUGUAGCAGUGCCAUAUUUGCUCUCAACUUACAACACUAUAAUUUGUUUUAAGUUUGCUACUUUCCUACCAAUGUUGUUAUUAACUAGCUACAUGUUACAAUAUUAAAUUUUUUUAUUUAAAAAAUAGAGGCCUCCUAGAAUCCAUCCAAUAUUUUCACCAUGUAGAUGACUAAGGUUGCCUACUCUUUUUCCAGGCCGGUGACGUAAACGCCAGCUCUCCCGAAUGCAAUAAUCGUCGAAUGAAGCUAGAUACUUAGUACUUAGUGUGUUAUCUACACUAAAUUUAUGUUUUCCUUGAAACGUGUUGAUUUUCCACAUUAAGUCAAAUAGUACCAUGAUUUUACGAACUCUCAAAUCGUAUGCGAUAUUAAUUUCAUAAAUAGACAAGGUACUCAGCUAAA